UGAUUUCACACUGUCAAGAAAAGUCUCUAUCGAGGUUAAAGGUACCCGUACCGCAAACCGACACAGGUGGGUGAGGAGAGUAUCCUAAGGCCAGCGAGAGAACUGUUGUUAAGGAACUCGGCAAAAUGACCCCGUAACUUAGGGAUAAGGGGUGCCACCAUCAGGUGGCCGCAGAGAAUAGGCCCAAGCGACUGUUUACCAAAAACAUAGGUUUCUGCUAAGUCGCAAGACGAUGUAUAGGAGCUGACGCCUGCCCGGUGCUGGAAGGUUAAGGGGAUCUGUUAGAGCAAUCGAAGCAGUGAACUUAAGCCCCAGUAAACGGCGGCCGUAACUAUAACGGUCCUAAGGUAGCGAAAUUCCUUGUCGGGUAAGUUCCGACCCGCACGAAAGGCGUAACGAUUUGGGCACUGUCUCAACAACAGACUCGGUGAAAUUGUAAUUCCGGUGAAGAUGCCGGAUACCUGCGACAGGACGGAAAGACCCCAUGGAGCUUUACUGUAGCUUGACAUUGGGU
rnacentral:rRNA from 1 species